rnacentral:rRNA from 1 species
CCUACGGGAGGCAGCAGUGGGGAAUCUUGCGCAAUGGGCGAAAGCCUGACGCAGCCAUGCCGCGUGAAUGAUGAAGGUCUUAGGAUUGUAAAAUUCUUUCACCGGGGACGAUAAUGACGGUACCCGGAGAAGAAGCCCCGGCUAACUUCGUGCCAGCAGCCGCGGUAAUACGAAGGGGGCUAGCGUUGCUCGGAAUUACUGGGCGUAAAGGGAGCGUAGGCGGAUAGUUUAGUCAGAGGUGAAAGCCCAGGGCUCAACCUUGGAAUUGCCUUUGAUACUGGCUAUCUUGAGUAUGGGAGAGGUAUGCGGAACUCCGAGUGUAGAGGUGAAAUUCGUAGAUAUUCGGAAGAACACCAGUGGCGAAGGCGGCAUACUGGCCCAUUACUGACGCUGAGGCUCGAAAGCGUGGGGAGCAAACAGGAUUAGAUACCCUGGUAGUCCACGCUGUAAACGAUGAGUGCUAGUUGUCGGCAUGCAUGCAUGUCGGUGACGCAGCUAACGCAUUAAGCACNCCGCCGUGGGAGGUACGGUCGCGAAGAAGUUAAACUUAACAAAGAAAGUUAGUUACGGCGNGAGACGNGCCGAACGGACGACCGACGAGGGGAGGUUAGGG